AUACGGAGGAUGCAAGCGUUAUCCGGAUUCAUUGGGUUUAAAGGGUGCGCAGGCGGAUAUAUAAGUCAGUGGUGAAAUGCAACAGCUUAACUGUUGAGCUGCCAUUGAUACUGUAGGUCUAGAGUGUAAUUGGGGUAAGCGGAAUAUGUCAUGUAGCGGUGAAAUGCUUAGAUAUGACAUAGAACACCGAUCGCGAAGGCAGCUUACCAAGCUACAACUGACGCUCAUGCACGAAAGCGUGGGGAUCAAACAGGAUUAGAUACCCUGGUAGUCCACGCUGUAAACGAUGAUUACUAGCUGUUGGCGAUAUACAGUCAGUGGCGUAGCGAAAGCGUUAAGUAAUCCACCUGGGGAGUACGUUCGCAAGUAUGAA
rnacentral:rRNA from 1 species